rnacentral:rRNA from 1 species
GACGAACGCUGGCGGCGUGCUUAACACAUGCAAGUCGAACGGAAAGGCCCUGCUUUUGUGGGGUGCUCGAGUGGCGAACGGGUGAGUAACACGUGAGUAACCUGCCCUUGACUUUGGGAUAACUUCAGGAAACUGGGGCUAAUACCGGAUAGGAGCUCCUGCUGCAUGGUGGGGGUUGGAAAGUUUCGGCGGUUGGGGAUGGACUCGCGGCUUAUCAGCUUGUUGGUGGGGGAGUGGCUUACCAAGGCUUUGACGGGUAGCCGGCCUGAGAGGGUGACCGGCCACCUUGGGACUGAGAUACGCCGCAGACUCCUACGGGAGGCAGCAGUGGGGAAUAUUGCACAAUGGGCGGAAGCCUGAUGCAGCAACGCCGCGUGCGGGAUGACGGCCUUCGGGUUGUAAACCGCUUUCGCCUGUGACGAAGCGUGAGUGACGGUAAUGGGUAAAGAAGCACCGGCUAACUACGUG